GAAGACUUAGGCUUGGUUUACAGAUGGUUGUGCACAACAUGCAGGCACCACCUGAAGGUAGACAGCUGCAGCACUACUGCCCUUUCUGGGACAUCUCUGAAGGAUGGUGGUGAAAGCAAUUCCUUCCAGUGGGCAGAACUUUGAGUAAUGCACCUUGUUGUUCACUUUGCUUGGAAAGAAAAAUGGGUUGACAUUUGUUUAUCUUCAUUUAUGAGCUGUGAGCAGUAGUAUGCCUGGAUGGUCAGGGAUGUAGAAAGAGCUCCACUGGAAAAUUGGUGACAAAGAAAUUUGGGGAAGAGAUAUGUAGGUAGACCUCUCUGAAUGGGAAAAAAAAGUCAACAUAAUUGUGUCCCAUGUGAAUGAUUGCCAAAAGGUGACCUCAGUAGAAGAGGAUUUUAAUAGUCAAGUGGACAGAAUGACCGAUUCUGUGGAUACUAGUUAGCCUCUUUCCCCAGCCAUCCCUGUCAUCGCCCAAUGGGUUCAUGAACAAAGCAGCCAUUAUGGCAGGGAUGAAGAUUAUGCCUUGGCCCAGCAACAUGGACUUCCCACUCACCAGUGCUGACCUAUGGCCACUGCCAAGUGCCCGAUCUGCCAGCCUCAGAGAACAGUGCUGAGCCCCUAAUAUGGCAACAUUCCCCAGAUGAUCAACCAGCUACCUGUUUGCAGUUGAUUACAUUGGACCACUUCUAUCAGGGAAGGGACAGCAUCUUGUCCUUAGUGGAACAGACACUUACUCUGGAUAUGAAUUUGCUUUCCUUGCCUGCAGUGCUUCUGCCAAAACCACCAUUCAUGAACUCACAGAAUGCCUUAUCCACCCUCAUGGUAUUCUACACAGCAUUACUUUUGACCAAAGAACUCCACAGCAAAUGAAGUGUGGCAGUGGGCUUAUGCUCAUGGAAUUCACUGGUCUUACCGUGUUCCCCCAUCAUCCUGAAGCAGCUGGCUUGAUAGAACAGUGAAAUGGACUUUUGAAGACUCCGUCUAGUGCCAGCUAAGUGUCACUACCUUGCAGGGUUAGGACAAGGUUCUCUGUAAGACUGUAUAUGCUCUGAAUCAGCAUUUAAUCUAUGAUGCUAUUUCUCCUAUAGCCAGAAACUCACAGGCCCAGGAAUCAAGGGGUUGAAAUGGGGUUCUACCACUCACUAUUACUCCUGGUUACCCGCUAGUAAAUUUUGCUUUUUGUUCCCAUGACUUCAUACUCUGCUGGCCCACAGGUCUUUGUUCUAGAUGGAAGAAUACUUCCACAGGGAGACAUAGCAAUGCUUCCACUGAACUGGAAGUCAAGACUGCCAUGAAACCACUUUGGACUCCUCAUUCCUCUGAAUCAACAGACAAAGAAAGGAGUUACUGUGCUGAUUAGGGUGACUGACCCUGACUACCAAGGGGAAAUUGGACUACUACUCCACAACAGAGGGCUUGUUACAGGGUCAACUUCUCGGUGCAUGGCUCCUUCCAGUCUGAUAAGAACCAUCCCUCAGCCUUCAGACGAACAGGAAGAAGAGAACAUUCCUAUUACUGAAGACAGACAGUGAAUGUCAAGAAGAAUCUGUACAAACAAACCUACUAAAACAACCUUUAUCUUCCACUAGUUUCUCCAAUAUUUCCUAGUCACUUUCCCACAAUUUGCUGCCUCGGUCCAAACUCCUUUUGCUUUUUUCUUGUCACAUCUCCACAGUUGAUCAUUCUUUGUUGAAAUGGUAUAUACCGUCUCGGGCCUCUUCAUUUCUUUUUUCUAUGAAGGCUCCUAUGCCAUGCAAAAAUAUUAACAUCAAAUAAAAUGUAUAUGCUUUUCUCCUGUUAAUCUGUCUUUUGUCAGUUUAAUUCUCAGGCCCAGCUGCAGAACCUAAGAAGGCAGAGGAAAAAUCUGUCCUCCCUUACACCACCUUUGCUCUUCCCUGGGAGAUUGGUCUACAUGGACCACGUCAACAAGACUCCUGGGCCAUCUGGUUUCUUGUUGGCUUCAACUGACAGGCAGCACUUUAGGAGACUCAGGGAGAAAGGAGAGGCAGCUCUGGAGUAUUUCUUUCUCUCCCUGGAAGGAUGACUCCAUCAAGUAUCACUGCUCAUCCCAAAGUCACCUACUGUCUCCCUUACCUUCUCUCUUAUGACCUACAGAUAAUGAGAGCUCCACUGCUGCUGCUAAUCCAGAGUUUCUAUACCAGUUCCUGUAGUUUCACUUAACUACACCCACAACUUUAUAAUUAGUUCCUUGUAAAUAAACUUUCCUCAUAUUUAGCUUGAUCAGAGGGUGUCAUCUGUUUUCUGUUGGGACCCUGGAGGAUGUAGGCAUGAAAACCACUUUUGAGAUGUGUGUAUAUUGGAGGUAGUGAAGGAGCAGUUAGUUAAAAGGAAAGAAGGGGCAGGAGAAUGGGGAAAGUGUCCCAGAGGAAAACAGAGUUAAGUCUUAAAAGAUGUCUUGAAAAGACACAAUGUCUUGAAAGAAAUAAUGAGAAGGAAGAAAUAAUUUCAGAGAGAAACAUGUGGAGGCUCAGAGACUUGAAAGUGUCCUAGGGAAGUUGCAAAUGAUCAAGGUGACUGCAGGGAAGGACUGGUAGGUGGGAGGAUGGUAAGUGAUGAGGCUGGAGGGGAGGUGAGGGAGAGAUCAUGAAGGACUCUGUAUGUUCUGUGAAUGAGUUUGGGCUCUAUCCUGAAGACAAUGGGAAAUUACUGAAAGAUUUUUAAGCAGAAAAGUAACAUAACCUGAUUGGAAUUUCAAAAUAUUCCUCUGGUAUGUAGUGUGGGAGAAAGCAGGACUGGAAGCAGGGAGAUAGUUUGGCAUGUUCCUUCAAUGAUCAACGCAAGAAUCAGUCACAAUAUGAAAUUUGGUAGUGGCGGUGGGGCAGCAGGAAGUAUGUGUGAGAACUAUUGAGGAAUUUGGUGAGGAAUUGGGUCCGGUAGUAAGUCUGAAAUGAUGCCCAGAUGUUUGAGUUGGGCCAGUUAAUAGAUGUUGGAAUCAUUCAUAAACAGAUGGGAUCCUAAAGGGGGAACUGUAUUAGUCUGUUCUCACAUUGCUAUAAAGAAAUACCUGAA